rnacentral:rRNA from 1 species
GAUGAACGCUGGCGGCGUGCCUAAUACAUGCAAGUCGAGCGAAUGGAUUAAGAGCUUGCUCUUAUGAAGUUAGCGGCGGACGGGUGAGUAACACGUGGGUAACCUGCCCAUAAGACUGGGAUAACUCCGGGAAGCCGGGGCUAAUACCGGAUAACAUUUUGAACCGCAUGGUUCGAAAUUGAAAGGCGGCUUCGGCUGUCACUUAUGGAUGGACCCGCGUCGCAUUAGCUAGUUGGUGAGGUAACGGCUCACCAAGGCAACGAUGCGUAGCCGACCUGAGAGGGUGAUCGGCCACACUGGGACUGAGACACGGCCCAGACUCCUACGGGAGGCAGCAGUAGGGAAUCUUCCGCAAUGGACGAAAGUCUGACGGAGCAACGCCGCGUGAGUGAUGAAGGCUUUCGGGUCGUAAAACUCUGUUGUUAGGGAAGAACAAGUGCUAGUCGAAUAAGCUGGCACCUUGACGGUACCUAACCAGAAAGCCACGGCUAACUACGUGCCAGCCGCCGCCGUAA